rnacentral:rRNA from 1 species
UAAGCGGAGGAAAAGAAACUAACAAUGAUUCCCCUAGUAACUGCGAGUGAAGAGGAACAAGCUCAAAUUUUAAAUCUGUUGGGUAUCACCUAACCGAGUUGUAAUUUGAAGAGGCGUUUUCUGCGUUUUUUGAUCAGUCCAAGUCCUUUGGGAUAGGGCAUCAUGGAGGGUGAGAAUCCCGUUCGGCUGAUCGAAGUUCGUUUUAUGAUACGUCUUCUAAGAGUCAAGUUGUUUGGGAUUGCAGCUUAAAAUGGGAGGUAAAUUUCUCCUAAGGCUAAAUAUUGGCGAGAGACCGAUAGCGAACAAGUACCGUGAGGGAAAGAUGAAAAGUACUUUGAAAAGAGAGUUAAAUAGUACGUGAAAUUGUUGAAAGGGAAACGAUUGAAGCCAGUCGUACCUACGGGUAAUCAGCCUUUCGGAAGCGAUUCUGUGGGUUUUGAGGAGCUUAACGGCCCCUCUUGGUCUACAUAUUUGUAUCCCUUGGGUGUACUUUCCCGGGUGGUAGGUUAACAUCAAUUUCGUUCGUCAUAAAAUGAUGGGAGGAAUGUAGCUUCGACCUCGGUUGAAGUGUUAUAGCCUCUGGUAGAUGUGUUGAUCGGGAUUGAGGAUUGCAACGAAUACCUUUUAGGCUACCCGCCUGAUCUCUGAUGGUUGCUAUGGUUGCCGAAAGCAUGCUUACGGUUUAUCGAGUUGAUUGUCAAAAGGGUUAGAACGGGUUAAAUUUCGUUAAGGGAUGUUGACGUAAUGGCUUUAAACGACCCGUUCUUGAAACACGGACCAAGGAGUCUAAUCAUGUGUGCGAGUG